rnacentral:rRNA from 1 species
AUUGAACGCUGGCGGCAGGCUUAACACAUGCAAGUCGAGCGAGCGGUGGACGGGUGAGUAAUGUAUGGGGACUGCCUGAUAGAGGGGGAUAACUACUGGAAACGGUGGCUAAUACCGCAUACUAUCGGAUAACCCAUAUGGGAUUAGCUAGUAGGUGGGGUAAAGGCUCACCUAGGCGACGAUCUCUAGCUGGUCUGAGAGGAUGAGCAGCCACACGGGAAUUGAGACACGGCCCAGACUCCUCCGGAGGCAGCAGUGGGGAAUAUUGCACAAUGGGCGCAAGCCUGAUGCAGCCAUGCCGCGUGUAUGAAGAAGGCCUUAGGGUUGUAAAGUUCUUUCGGUAGCGAGGCGUUAACUACAGAAGAAGCACCGGCUAACUCCGUGCCAGCAGCCGCGGUAAUAC